GGGGAUGUAGUUAAAAAUAACAUCUAAUUUGCAAUUAGAAAGAACUAAUUAAAGUCUUCCUCA
rnacentral:tRNA from 1 species